rnacentral:lncRNA from 1 species
CAGCCCUAAGCCCCGACCAGAGGCAGUUCCAGCCGCCAGGGUCCCUCACACAACGCUGAAAGCAAAAUACACGUAUUUGACGUGCCUCAGAGCUGACGAAGCACCCAAAAGCAGCCCUCACUAAAGGAGUCGAAAGAAAAAGAGAGAGGGAAGGGCAAAACAAGUAGAAGACAAACAAGUCCAGGGCUCAGGAAACUUUUCAGCCUGUCAAAGUUAGAGAAAGCUCCUUCGCUUUCUACAGGGCAGCAGCAGCCAGGAGAGACAGGGAAGGAAAAACACGGCACCGAAAAGGCACUCCGGAAAUUGGAAAGGGGAGAGCAUUUUGGAAGAAGAGCCUGAAAAUCAUCCUAAUCCUAUUUAACUGCCUGCGAUACUGGAAUGCCUACAUGGAAAUAUGGGUAUGGGGCGGCUAAAAUCCCGUGGUGAUUGAGAGUUGGUGUCUUCAAGUAAGAAGUACAGAUCCCAGAGCCCUUAGUCAAUCAAUAGAAGCCACAAGCCCUCUUAGGAGUAACCCAUAGGUGAGGACUAGAGACUCUCCCCACCCCCCCAACCCUCAAAUGAAUAAGCAGCUCAGCUUGACCCUCUUUGCCAAUCCUUUCCAGGGUAGUUUAUUCUCUGCAUUCUGUCCGUCCUCAAGGCUAAUGCUGCGUAUGCCUUGAGUUUCUCAUAGCAUUCACUGUCAAUGCAAACACUCCAAAUACAGUCAAAACUCUGAAAUUUGACCUCUAAGCAAAACUUUUGGUAUUUGGAAUUUUCAAGUAUUUUGAUAGAUGAUCCCAGAUUAGCGCUCAAUGGAAUCUUGUAUACACAGGGCAGAACGCUAAGGAGUGCUUUUACAGAAGCCAGGAAUGGCUCACUGUCUGCUGCCCUUUCUACUCCUUCACACACAUUCCAGCCUCCUCAUCAGUCUGUUCAGAGGGAGCCAAGGUAGUUCUGCCAACUGGGAAAAUGUUUGAGAUACAAGUGGCAGGCAGAAAAAUGCAGAGCUGAUUUGGAAGGCUGCUUUCGAAAUUACAUGAACCCAAAGAUUGUGGGUUGAUGUCAAAGCCUUCCUGUGGGCUCUGAAGGCCAGCAUUUGAGGAUUUUCACCGAUUGAUUUGUGAUGUGUGUGCCCAACUCUGUGCCAAUUAACUUUCCCAAUCUGCAUGCACCCCAUGUCCCAUGCCCAGUGCAGACAAGCUGGUGACACUAACACUGGCAGCUUUGACCAGGACUCCAUGAAAGAGCUUGGUCCAGAUCAGCUUUCCUAGCUC